GACGAACGCUGGCGGCGUGCUUAACACAUGCAAGUCGAACGGAAAGGCCCUGCUUUUGUGGGGUGCUCGAGUGGCGAACGGGUGAGUAACACGUGAGUAACCUGCCCUUGACUUUGGGAUAACUUCAGGAAACUGGGGCUAAUACCGGAUAGGAGCUCCUGCUGCAAGGUGGGGGUUGGAAAGUUUCGGCGGUUGGGGAUGGACUCGCGGCUUAUCAGCUUGUUGGUGGGGUAGUGGCUUACCAAGGCUUUGACGGGUAGCCGGCCUGAGAGGGUGACCGGCCACAUUGGGACUGAGAUACGGCCCAGACUCCUACGGGAGACAGCAGUGGGGAAUAUUGCACAAUGGGCGGAAGCCUGAUGCAGCAACGCCGCGUGCGGGAUGACGGCCUUCGGGUUGUAAACCGCUUUCGCCUGUGACGAAGCGUGAGUGACGGUAAUGGGUAAAGAAGCACCGGCUAACUACGUG
rnacentral:rRNA from 1 species